CGGAACAGUUGCUAAGAUGCUAACAAUAUAGCUAGGUUAGCAUUUGACACCGGCGUCGGGCAUUUGGUGCUCCUCCUGAUCUAGCUAGCUAGCAGAGCAGCUAGAAGUCUGUUCUUUUAACGCUUUAGUGUUGGUGCCUGAAAAAGUCCAGCAUUUAUACAGACAGCUGCAUAGUGCUAGCUAAUAAAGUUAAAUCUGCGGUGAGUUAUAUUGACGUUACCACUGGAGA